rnacentral:tRNA from 1 species
GCCGCUGUGGCGAAAUCGGCAGACGCAGUAGACUCAAAAUCUACCGAUGGCAACAUCGUACCGGUUCAAGUCCGGUCAGCGGCACCA